CUUUGGAGCGACUAAGAGACGGCAGUUAGGGAAAGUCUGUGCGGCCUGUUGUUGUUAAGCCGUAGCUGUUAGUUUUAUGUCCUUCGCCCCUCUAGGUGAGGGAGUUAACCCCGAAGAAGAGUCCUACUUCGGCCUGGAGGAAAUAUCUCCCCUGUGUUUUCGGACUACGGUCUGAAGACUAAAGCAAGAACGGUCAACAUUAUCCUAGCGCAAAUUUUUUUCCCUAUAUUUCGAAAAACGCUUAACGGAAACGCAGUGGGUCGCCAUAGAGACCACGAAACUUUCUACUCACUGUUGAGUAGAGGUUCUUCUUCUGCGCCAUAUGAAACCACAUGCCUUCUGUUCAGGCCAGGAAGAGCUAAGGCUUGAAAGCUACUCAACGAGGCUCGUUGUGGCCAACCGCUUUGUUGGGUUUAGCGCUGGAGCUAAAGAGUCGCAGGGAGGCGUGGUGUCGGUACU